rnacentral:rRNA from 1 species
CCAGACUCCUACGGGAGGCAGCAGUGGGGAAUAUUGCACAAUGGGCGCAAGCCUGAUGCAGCAACGCCGCGUGAGCGAAGAAGGUCUUCGGAUCGUAAAGCUCUGUCCUUGAGGAAGAAGGAAGUGACGGUACUCAAGGAGGAAGCCCCGGCUAACUACGUGCCAGCAGCCGCGGUAAUACGUAGGGAGCAAGCGUUGUCCGGAAUUACUGGGCGUAAAGGGCGCGUAGGUGGGCGCUUAAGUCAGGUGUGAAAACUCCGGGCUCAACCUGGAGACUGCACUUGAAACUGGGUGUCUUGAGGGCAGGAGAGGAAAGUGGAAUUCCUAGUGUAGCGGUGAAAUGCGUAGAUAUUAGGAGGAACACCAGUGGCGAAGGCGGCUUACUGGACUGUAACUGACGUUGAGGCUCGAAAGCGUGGGGAGCAAACAGGAUUAGAUACCCUCGUA